GACACCCGUUAUGAUGGUGUCUAUGGAUCUUGAAUUCUUGCAAUUUUCGCACAUCUUUAUAUGCUAGACGGUUUACUCUGGUUGCCUUGUGUUUUUCACCAAUUCCUGUUUAAUAUGCAGUAGGUUAGUCAAUCUGAAGACUCGCUGUCGCUUUAUACUAUUCGAUCGAACUCUUGUUGUAUUUGUCUUUUUAUGGCCUGAUGAUGGCUUGUUGGAGGCCGUCAAUUAACUUGGUGUUGAUCCGUUGGUUCAUGUAUAAGCUGCUGAUGUACAAGUGCUGCACGCCAAUGAAGAAGCCUAUUCAGGUUUGCAGUUUUGGCCUUUUUCUUUUGGCUGCAUUCUCAUGCCAUUCUCAGUUUCAGACAGCUUUAUUCAAACGAAGGCAUUCCUCGGACAAUCAGCCAACAGGGUGGUCACAAGGAAACUUGGAGUUGCAUCGAGCCAGUGUACACAGAUGAGCCGGCACAUUAGCUGACCGAGGUACAUGCUGUAUUACAAAAAGCGAAAAAUCACUAGCUAGCUCUCCAAUUUGAACUAAGGUAGGAGCCACAGUUGAUCUAGAAUUGUGUUGAGUGUUUCAAAGAUUAACCAUCUCCAGGCAGUCCGUUUCCAUUAACACAUGCGUGAAUUCUCGUAGUUUUCCAAAGAGAACUCCAUCACUCAGCACCAUAGCUUCAGCAACUAAUGGGUCAGUGAUCCCCGAAUAUGGCUUACAC
rnacentral:lncRNA from 1 species